rnacentral:rRNA from 1 species
GACGAACGCUGGCGGCGUGCUUAACACAUGCAAGUCGAACGGAAAGGCCCUGCUUUUGUGGGGUGCUCGAGUGGCGAACGGGUGAGUAACACGUGAGUAACCUGCCCUUGACUUUGGGAUAACUUCAGGAAACUGGGGCUAAUACCGGAUAGGAGCUCCUGCUGCAUGGUGGGGGUGGGAAAGUUUCGGCGGUUGGGGAUGGACUCGCGGCUUAUCAGCUUGUUGGUGGGGUAGUGGCUUACCAAGGCUUUGACGGGUAGCCGGCCUGAGAGGGUGACCGGCCACAUUGGGACUGAGAUACGGCCCAGAGUCCUACGGGAGGCAGCAGUGGGGAAUAUUGCACAAUGGGCGGAAGCCUGAUGCAGCAACGCCGCGUGCGGGAUGACGGCCUUCGGGUUGUAAACCGCUUUCGCCUGUGACGAAGCGUGAGUGACGGUAAUGGGUAAAGAAGCACCGGCUAACUACGUG